GGAAAUCCAUCUGCUCAGUGGUAGAGCAUUUGCUCUGCAAGCAGAAGGUCCUAGGUUCAUUCCCCGGCAUCUCCA